GACGAACGCUGGCGGCGUGCUUAACACAUGCAAGUCGAACGGAAAGGCCCUGCGCUUGUGUGGUGCUCGAGUGCCGAACGGGUGAGUAACACGUGAGUAACCUGCCCUUGUCUUUGGGAUAACUUCACGAAACUGCGGCUAAUACCGGAUAGGAUCUCUUGCAGCAUGGUGGUCGUUGGAAAGUUUCGGCGGUUGUGGAUGGACUCGCGGCUUAUCAGCUUGUUGGUGGGGUAGUGGUUUACCAAGUCUUAGACGGCUAGCCGGCCUGAGAGGUUGACCGGCCACAUGGGGACUGAGAUACGGCCCAGACGGCAACGGGAGGCAGCAGUGGAGAAUAUUGCGCAGUAGGCGGAAGCCUGUUGCAGCAACGCCGCGUGCGGGAUGACGGCCUUCUAGUUGUAAACCGAUUUCGAAUGUGACGAAGCGUGAGUGACGGUAAUGGGUAAGGAAGCACCGGCUAACUACGUG
rnacentral:rRNA from 1 species